ensembl:snoRNA SNORA71 Small nucleolar RNA SNORA71
CCCUGUGUCGAAAGUGACUGUGGCCUUUUUGGUGGCCAGGUCAUUGAUAGUACAGGAACAGUGAAAUGAGAGCCUUUCCCGUGUUUGAUGGGCCCUUUGUCCCUACCAAACCCUGGUUCUCUCAUACA